CACAGAAUCGGAUCUGAAUCGUCUUCACCGCAGUGCGACUCUCCCUUCCUCCUGGCGGCGGCGUCGAAUCAAGGCGGAGUCCCUUCCCUUUGAAUCGCUGUGGCAAAGGCUCAGUUGCUACGACGGAGAGAUUAGAUCGCCUUUUAAGCCAAGCAGCAAACAGAUGUUGUGCCGACUGUGGUGCUCCAGAUCCCAAAUGGGUGUAAGUAUCCUUGAACCAAUAAGAUGUUUCCUUUUUUUAUGAAGAAAAGGCAGUAUAUACAAAUCAUUUUGCAUUUUAGAGAAACAUCGAGUGUGGAACUGAUUUUGAAUUGUUUAAGAUCACCUGUGCUUGGAUGAAAGUGAAGUUAAAGCCCUAUGUAUAUUUCUUUAUUCUUAUGAGAUAACACUUUUGAUUUGAGACUCGGUGCUUCACAAUAUUCUCAAUCUUCCGAUGUUCUGGUGUUCGCAUAUCAUUAAUGUUUGGUGCGUUCAUUUGUAUCAAGUGUUCUGGGGCUCAUGGAAGCCUCGGGGUGCACAUUUCCAAGCCAUAAGAGAGCUUUCAUUAGGUAGCUCCUCCGCCACACCUUCUUCUUCGUGCAGCGCCUCUGCCUCAUAGACGAGAGUAACUGGAGGAAGACAAAGCAGAGGCUGGCACCAUGUUCAUGUGGAGUUUAGGUUUGGGAUCCAUUUUUCCUGAUCUAGGGAUUUUUUUUGGUUUCAAUCUGAUGAGGAUACAGAUCUGAAGUGUGAUUUUUAUGGUGUCUACUUUUGUUCCAUCUGAAUGUUAGCCUUCUAUCCUGUGCCAAAUCCAAUGC